UUUGAUCCUGGCUCAGAACGAACGCUGGCGGCAGGCCUAACACAUGCAAGUCGAGCGCACCUUCGGGUGAGCGGCGGACGGGUGAGUAACGCGUGGGAAUAUGCCCUUUGGUACGGAAUAGUCCUGGGAAACUGGGGGUAAUACCGUAUGCGCCCUUCGGGGGAAAGAUUUAUCGCCAAAGGAUUAGCCCGCGUUGGAUUAGGUAGUUGGUGGGGUAAUGGCCUACCAAGCCGACGAUCCA
rnacentral:rRNA from 1 species